AACUGGGUAGCUCAAUGGUAGAGCAUCUGGCUACGCAGCAUCAUUAUAGUAUUCUUAGUAGUCAGAAGAUGCAGGUUCGAGUCCUGUCCCGGUUA
rnacentral:tRNA from 1 species